rnacentral:rRNA from 1 species
AAGGAGAAGUCGUAACAAGGUUUCCGUAGGUGAACCUGCGGAAGGAUCAUUGCCGUCUCUAGAACCACCACCGGCGAACCACAGUCCCACCGGAAAGGCCGCUCGCGGCGCGCGGCCCGGGGGAGGACCCCGGGGACGCGCGUCCCGGCGAGCUCCGAACAACCCUCUGGGCGCGGCGAGCGCCAAGGAAUCGAAGCGGAAAGGGCGGCCGCCCCGCCCGGCGCGGGCACGCCCCGAGAGGGGAUGCGGCGCCGCGGCGGGGGAUCCGCCGCCCGUCUGUGAAUCUCUGAGACGACUCUCGGCAACGGAUAUCUCGGCUCUCGCAUCGAUGAAGAACGUAGCGAAAUGCGAUACUUGGUGUGAAUUGCAGAAUCCCGUGAACCAUCGAGUCUUUGAACGCAAGUUGCGCCCGAGGCCGCUCGGCCGAGGGCACGCCUGCCUGGGCGUCACGCCACCCAUCGCCCCCCCGCGGCAUUCCCAUGCGCGGCCGGGGAGCGGAGACUGGCCGUCCGUGCCCGAGCCCUCGGCGCGCGGUCGGCAGAAAAGGAGGGCACCGUGCGGCGCGACACGGCGUGUGGGGGUUGAGAGGCGAUUCGUCGCCGACCGUACGUCGCGCCGGCAUUCCGCCGCGCGGUCUCGCCCGUGGGACCGGACUUCGCCCGCAGCCGCGGGCGCUCGGACCGCGACCCCAGGUCAGGCGUGGCCACCCGCUGAAUUUAAGCAUAUCAAUAAGCGGAGGAGAAGAAACUUACGAGGAUUCCCC